rnacentral:lncRNA from 10 species
AAGAACAGGCGCCGGCCUCGGCGUCCGCCGCGCAGUUAGGAAACUGACUGUCGCUCUCUCCGGCCUCGGCGCUGCUUCGGACGCCCCGGCACCGGCCCCCGUUGCUUUGUAGCAUUCUGCAGCUGGGCUGCAGGCGCCGUGGGCCUCCGCCAGUUGUGUUCGAGACGCGGUUCGGCCACAGAAGUUUUAGCUUGUGACUUUUGGCAAGUCAGUGGCCCUCUCUGGGCCUCAGGUGCCUUUUUUGCUGUGAGACCAGCGACUGUAUUUUUAACCCUGAUUUUAUCCCUAGAUCUACCCAACACAUAGUAGGUGCUCAAAAGAUAUUUAUGAGUGAAUGAAUGCAUCAUGAGAAGAAAUUGGACCAGAUGAGGCCCUGUGAAGCUGCUUGGGUCUUUUUUUGUUCUUUUUUUUUUCUCUCUUCUGAGUGUCCCUGGCCUGGACUAGAAAUUCUCCAUCCUUCGGCCUUCUGCGAGACUGCAGGAACAUUACUUUUGAAGGAUGCUAAGGAAUCCGAGGGAUGAAAAAAAUCAAGAGAUUGCAAUGAUGUCACAAAACAAGGAAACAAGUGCAGCAUCUUCACUCCGAAGCAGAAAUUUGCCAAAAAAGCAUCCUCUUUUUAUCAGAAAAUAAAAUAUCCUGGUUUCUUAGCCUGGCA